AAAAGAGAUGCCUGAUAAAGGAUUAUUUUGAUGUAAUAAAACAUGUUUUUAUAAACUCUCUUU
rnacentral:tRNA from 1 species